UGAUAAUUAGUUUAACGAAAAACAAAUGAUUUCGACUCAUUAGAUUAUGAUUAUAUUCAUAAUUAUCAA
rnacentral:tRNA from 1 species